GAUGAACGCUGGCGGCGUGCCUAAUACAUGCAAGUCGAGCGAACAGAUAAGGAGCUUGCUCCUUUGACGUUAGCGGCGGACGGGUGAGUAACACGUGGGUAACCUACCUAUAAGACUGGAAUAACUCCGGGAAACCGGGGCUAAUGCCGGAUAACAUUUAGAACCGCAUGGUUCUAAAGUGAAAGAUGGUUUUGCUAUCACUUAUAGAUGGACCCGCGCCGUAUUAGCUAGUUGGUAAGGUAACGGCUUACCAAGGCAACGAUACGUAGCCGACCUGAGAGGGUGAUCGGCCACACUGGAACUGAGACACGGUCCAGACUCCUACGGGAGGCAGCAGUAGGGAAUCUUCCGCAAUGGGCGAAAGCCUGACGGAGCAACGCCGCGUGAGUGAUGAAGGUCUUCGGAUCGUAAAACUCUGUUAUUAGGGAAGAACAAAUGUGUAAGUAACUGUGCACGUCUUGACGGUACCUAAUCAGAAAGCAACGGCUAACUACGUG
rnacentral:rRNA from 1 species